rnacentral:rRNA from 1 species
AGAGUUUGAUCUGGCUCAGGACGAACGCUGGCGGCGUGCCUAAUACAUGCAAGUCGAGCGAAUCGAUGGGAGCUUGCUCCCUGAGAUUAGCGGCGGACGGGUGAGUAACACGUGGGUAACCUGCCUGUAAGAUUGGGAUAACUCCGGGAAACCGGAGCUAAUACCGGAUAACAUUUUGAACCGCAUGGUUCAAAAUUGAAAGAUGGCUUCGGCUAUCACUUACAGAUGGACCCGCGGCGCAUUAGCUAGUUGGUGAGGUAAUGGCUCACCAAGGCAACGAUGCGUAGCCGACCUGAGAGGGUGAUCGGCCACACUGGGACUGAGACACGGCCCAGACUCCUACGGGAGGCAGCAGUAGGGAAUCUUCCGCAAUGGACGAAAGUCUGACGGAGCAACGCCGCGUGAACGAUGAAGGCCUUCGGGUCGUAAAGUUCUGUUGUUAGGGAAGAACAAGUACCAGAGUAACUGCUGGUACCUUGACGGUACCUAACCAGAAAGCCACGGCUAACUACGUGCCAGCAGCCGCGGUAAUACGUAGGUGGCAAGCGUUGUCCGGAAUUAUUGGGCGUAAAGCGCGCGCAGGUGGUCUCUUAAGUCUGAUGUGAAAGCCCACGGCUCAACCGUGGAGGGUCAUUGGAAACUGGGGAACUUGAGUGCAGAAGAGGAAAGUGGAAUUCCAAGUGUAGCGGUGAAAUGCGUAGAGAUUUGGAGGAACACCAGUGGCGAAGGCGACUUUCUGGUCUGUAACUGACACUGAGGCGCGAAAGCGUGGGGAGCGAACAGGAUUAGAUACCCUGGUAGUCCACGCCGUAA